UAAUCGCGGAUCAGCAUGCCGCGGUGAAUACGUUCCCGGGCCUUGUACACACCGCCCGUCACACCAUGAGAGUCGGGAACACCCGAAGUCCGCAGCCUAACCGCAAGGGGGGCGCGGCCGAAGGUAGGACUGGUAAUUAGGGUGAAGUCGUAACAAGGUAAC
rnacentral:rRNA from 1 species